UGUGCCAGCCUACAAGAAGGCAGUCAAGAGAGUAAAGAUUCUGGAAGGAAUUAGUCAACUAGAGGAAGACACUUCAGAGUGGAGGGUACUUCCAGCUUGAGAAAUGUGGCAGUGGAGUAAAGAAGUUUCUGUAGCAUAUGAGGGAAAAUUUGGAAAUUCAAGGGUAUAGCCUGGACUGGAAUGAAGAUAUGGCUGACCUGCUUAUCCUAAACAUGGAGGCUGUGAAAGGAACAAACCAAUACUCACUGGAAUAGUAGGCAUCAUAUGCUUUCUUACAUGGUUGGAGUCAUUGGGGAAAUGUUUUUAGAAGAUUCAAGGAGUGAAUUGAGUCUUGAUAUGAUGGAUAGGAUGUGAUCAAAUCUCUCCAGGAAGAAGGAGGAAGAAGAGGAGAGAAAAAGAAGAGAGGAAGAAGAGGAGAAGGAUAAAUUGUAAAGAUUUGGAAAGAUUGGGGGGAAUUGUUGAGUUCUGAGACUGAAAGUAAAUAAGGUGAGUUUGGGACUGACUGAGAUGAUGAAGGAGACAGAAUAUUUUGAGAAGGAUGAUUUAAGCAGAAGAACCUAAGAAGAAAGGAAAAGAAGAAAUUAGAGUCAAAGAGUGAGUGCUUCUCCCCGUACAUUUUUUCCCUCAGAGACAAUAGAGUAUUUUUAAAAGAAGACAGGGAAGAAACAUUUUAGUAUGAAAACAAAGAAUAGAAAGUCAUCAGAAAUAAGAGCUGGGUGUCAGAAACACCCCCAAGAGCGCAUUACUCAUACCCUGACUGUCACGAGGAGCCAUUCUCUCUUACUGCCACCAUUGACUCCAUGUUCCUACACUCAAGGCUUUGUCAGCUGUGCAGAGGGAGCUGGCCAAUUACUCAGAGUUCCUUGCUCGAAUUCCCAGAAAGGCCUUGAUAUCCAACUCCACAUCAAUUGUGCCAAGCCCUCCUCCUGGCUAACAGUCAUCUGUCUUCCCUGUCCACCAUGAUUUAUUCAUCUCUCCUGCAGGGUAGCCUCCUCUUGGAUUCUCUCAGUAAUCUACCUUCGGCUAGCAGGAAUUAUCUUCUUAAUGAUCAAGGAAAAACUAUGAUGGAAGGUAGUUCCUUGAGAGCACUGGUCCUCUGGAAAAAAAAUCCCCAUUUUAGUGUGCCCUGAUUUCUAUUUCCAAAUACAUUUUGUGCAUAAGUAUCUAGCCACUUUCAUACCAGGUUCUAUUUAGGAGACAACAGAAGCCCAUGCUUAUGGGAAGGGUAAAGGGCACAGUCUCAUUCUAUCCUAACAUCAACUAA
rnacentral:lncRNA from 1 species